AAUAUGCAGCUAGGAUUGAAAAUCACUUACGUAGACAUACAGUUUUUAUGUUUUAACAAAUACUUUUAAGGCAAACAAACUACUGGGAUGAUCUUUGGAUGCACCACAGAACUUUUUCAGAAGCAUUUGGGCGUCCCAAUGAUUUCUACUUCUAAAGAGUGCUAGUGAAUGAGGGAUUUUGAUUGAGGGCUUACUUUGCUGCCUUAGUGUUCUCUCCUAACCAGAAGCCUUUCUGUUUUGGAAUCAUGGAGCACAUCUUUUGUGGGCUGCGAAAAGCUCUAGGUGGAAGGGAAGAGCAUCAGGUGGUGAAGCUGAACCAGGAGAGUCUAAAAACCACGUGGCCUCUCAGGCACCCUUGAGUCUAGAGGGAGUUCCCUGAUCUUACAUUUGAGAGUGAUUCUAGGGGCCAACACCUUGAGGCCAGAGGCAACAGAAAGAGGAUUGAGUGAAGCAGGAAGCCUGCAAAGCCCUGGAUUCCAAUCCAGCUCUAGCUGCGAGGCGCUGGGCACGGGUCACUGCUCUGCGGCUCUGCUUGCUUGUCUGCAAGGGUUCUGCAAUAGCCAAGCAACAAAUGGAAGCUGUCAGAAAGUAUUUGUAGGAACAGUUAUGGAAGAAAGCUGCGAGGUUGUUGAAACGCUACACAGACUACAUUUUUUUAGCCUAUGCAUGAGUAGAAUACUUUCCUAAAAAUGUAAUUGACUGUGGACGUGUGGCAUACAGCAAGCCCUCUGCCUAGGCUUUUGAAAUCCUCUUAUUUUCACUGAUGCAAAACCGGCAUGGUGUCUUUCAAGGAUCUUUUCAACUCACCCUGUGUCAUCACACGCACAUUACUGAGCAUUUGAUGCUGUCUUACCUCCUGUUCUCUAGACCCGUCCCUCUUCCUCUUUCUUCCUGUCUUUUCUGUUCUAUCUGUGCUCUGGAUCACUCUGUGGCACCAAGGACACUGCAGGGGCUUUAGCUCCUGGUCCUUAACUGGCGGCGCUCAAAUCUACUGACUUUACUGACCUCUGCCCAAGCCAUGAACUGAGACCGACGAAUAGAUCACCCAAACUCCCAGCAACCAGCACAUGGCAGUUGUGCAGGGCCUUUUCCAUGCGGCAUAAUUUCGUGGAAUUUCUCUCUCUCCUCAUCUGGCUCUGAUUAUUUGCUGAUUUGUAAUUUUAGUUAUUCGUGUGCAAGUCUUAUCUCCUUUGCCAGACUGUAUGCUCCUGAGCAACAUGCACUAUGCUUGAUGCAUUUUGUGCGUCUUCUCUCCUUCCUGGGCUUGGCAUGGUGCUCAGCACAACGUGGAAAUUCAGUAGAUACAUUGUGAGUGAAUUCAUGACAUUGAAGCUAGGAACACAGAAUAUCCUAAAGAUAAUCCAGGUAUCAAUGCCAGAGAUUGGUCACAUCCUGGCUAAAUCUGUAGCUAUUUAAACUAAGUUUCCAGUUUCUUAUUUCCAUAGCUAUGAAAUCAAGAGGAUAUAUAUUUUAAAGUUUCCACAAUAUCUUGUUUUCAGAGAUUUGAAAUCAAGAUGUUAUAUCUUCUUCCAUUGAGUAGGAAAUAGCUCUCACGCCCUGCUGUGGCAGUACAAGGCUGAAGGAAUUAUAAUGAUCCUUGAACUCAAGUCUCCUGAUAACACAUUUUAUUAACUGGUAGGAGACUAGAAUAAGACUUGUGGGUGAAACUAGUAUGUCUCAAGCAAUUCUAAUUUCCAGGCACAGAAACUGUACUUUGUAGCAGCAGAAUUUUAUUUGAGAAGUGACUUUACUAGGGGAAGUCCUACCAAUUGUUUAAUUUCUUUUUCACCCUAAAUGAUAGGAAAAGGGGAAAUCAUAUAGCCUCAAAUACUCAAAGAUAUUUAACUUUAUAAACAGGAAGCACACGAGGGUUGCAUUUUGUUUGCUUAAUGGCAAUUUUUGGGAAAUACACAAGAAACUAAACAACUAUGUUUAUGAACGUUUUUAACUUUUCCAAUCUUUCUUGAUUCUUUCUUUCUCACUACAUAGAGAUUUAAAAUAAUAAAAUCAGUUAUUGCAAUGAUUAAAAUGGUUUGAAAAAACUAGUACUUUUCCACUUCUUUUGCUUUCCAGAAAAAGAACUCAUGUGUUCCAAAUUAUAUUUUUCCUCAAUUUCUGUUCAGUCCUUCAUAUUACAUUUUAAUUGGGAUAAAAAAUUUUUUUUCAAUUCACAAGCUCAUCAAUCCAGAGGAGAUACUUCUAAUAUAAGUUAUAAGAGCAAACAUUCAAGAAAACUGAAGUUGGAAACAUGUUUGUGUCUUUUUUCCAUGACUAACCCAUGUCUAUUCUCUAUGAAAUUGAUGUCAAAAAGGUAUUAUAUAUUUUCAGUAGGAAAUAGAAGGCUGCCCUCUACUAUCCUUGUCAGGACGUCGUAUCCCUUUAAUCAUACUUUUCAUUUCAGUACAUUGAAAUUUCCGUUACCAAGGACAACAUCAUAAAUAAAAGUGUUUGUGAAAUUUUA